rnacentral:rRNA from 1 species
AUGGCGGCCUUCGUACUCUUCCUCCUUAUACUUGUCCUUGCCGCUGGCAACAGCGAGCACAGACACGUAGGAGCAGUUGCUGCGCGCAGCCCCGUCGUCGUGCGGCUAAUCGGCCGCGGCGCGGACGACAAGACCUCCGUUGCCGUGCACAGACAUGACCUCUCCUUCGCCAGCUUCACCGAUGGCAGCGGCCAUUGGCACGCCUUUCCUGGCCUUGAGCACCUCUUGCCCACGUCCACGACCCUCCCCUUCGGCAGAAGUUACAGCAACCUCAUCGGCGGCCUCGCGAACUUGCCGGGCGUGCCGCUGGGGCGGGAAGCCAUUCGCGUGCUCGCCGCCUACCGCCUCGGGGGCGGCGUGGAGCCGGUCAAGCGGGCGCUGACGGUGAUGAAGGUUGUGAGUAGCGAGGCCCAGCGAUUGGGGCCAUCAAAGUGA